rnacentral:rRNA from 1 species
GAUGAACGCUGGCGGCGUGCCUAAUACAUGCAAGUCGAGCGAACGGACGAGAAGCUUGCUUCUCUGAUGUUAGCGGCGGACGGGUGAGUAACAUGUGGAUAACCUACCUAUAAGACUGGGAUAACUUCGGGAAACCGGAGCUAAUACCGGAUAAUAUUUUGAACCGCAUGGUUCAAAAGUGAAAGACGGUCUUGCUGUCACUUAUAGAUGGAUCCGCGCUGCAUUAGCUAGUUGGUAAGGUCACGGCUUACCACGGCAACGAUGCAUAGCCGACCUGAGAGAGUGAUCGGCCACACGGGAACUGGAACACGGUCCAGACUCCUACGGGAGGCAGCAGUAGGGAAUCUUCCGCAAUGGGCGAAAGCCUGGCGGAGCAACGCCGCGUGAGUGAUGAAGGUCUUCGGAUCGUAAAACUCUGUUAUUAGGGAAGAACAUAUGUGUAAGUAGCUGUGCACAUCUUGACGGUACCUAAUCAGAAAGCCACGGCUAACUACGUG